UGCAGUCGAACGGGACAGGUCUUCGGAUGCUGACGAGUGGCGAACGGGUGAGUAAUACAUCGGAACGUGCCUAGUAGUGGGGGAUAACUACUCGAAAGAGUAGCUAAUACCGCAUGAGAUCUAAGGAUGAAAGCAGGGGACCUUCGGGCCUUGCGCUACUAGAGCGGCUGAUGGCAGAUUAGGUAGUUGGUGGGAUAAAAGCUUACCAAGCCGACGAUCUGUAGCUGGUCUGAGAGGACGACCAGCCACACUGGAACUGAGACACGGUCCAGACUCCUACGGGAGGCAGCAGUGGGGAAUUUUGGACAAUGGGCGAAAGCCUGAUCCAGCAAUGCCGCGUGUAGGAUGAAGGCCCUCGGGUUGUAAACUACUUUUGUACGGAACGAAAAGACACCUUCUAAUACAGGGUGUCGAUGACGGUACCGUAAUAAUAAGCACCGGCUAACUACGUGCCAGCAGCCGCGGUAAUACGUAGGGUGCAAGCGUUAAUCGGAUUUACUGGGCGUAAAGCGUGCGCAGGCGGUUAUGUAAGACAGAGGUGAAAUCCCCGGGCUCAACCUGGGAACGGCCUUUGUGACUGCAUAGCUAGAGUACGGUAGAGGGGGAUGGAAUUCCGCGUGUA
rnacentral:rRNA from 1 species